UAGAACCUACGGGAGGCAGCAGUGAGGAAUAUUGGUCAAUGGGCGGGAGCCUGAACCAGCCAAGCCGCGUGAAGGAAGAAGGCGCCAGGCGUCGUAAACUUCUUUUGUCGGGGAACAAAGGGCGCCACGCGUGGCGUUGUGAGUGUACCCGAAGAAAAAGCAUCGGCUAACUCCGUGCCAGCAGCCGCGGUAAUACGGAGGAUGCGAGCGUUAUCCGGAUUUAUUGGGCGUAAAGGGAACGCAGGCGGUCUUUUAAGUCUGAUGUGAAAGCCUUCGGCUUAACCGGAGUA
rnacentral:rRNA from 1 species